rnacentral:rRNA from 1 species
GAUGAACGCUGGCGGCGUGCCUAAUACAUGCAAGUCGAGCGAACAGACGAGGAGCUUGCUCCUUCGACGUUAGCGGCGGACGGGUGAGUAACACGUAGGUAACCUACCUAUAAGACUGGGAUAACUUCGGGAAACCGGAGCUAAUACCGGAUAAUAUUUCGAACCGCAUGGUUCGAUAGUGAAAGAUGGCUUUGCUAUCACUUAUAGAUGGACCUGCGCCGUAUUAGCUAGUUGGUAAGGUAACGGCUUACCAAGGCAACGAUACGUAGCCGACCUGAGAGGGGGAUCGGCCACACUGGAACUGAGACACGGUCCAGACUCCUACGGGAGGCAGCAGUAGGGAAUCUGCCGCAAUGGGCGAAAGCCUGACGGAGCAACGCCGCGUGAGUGAUGAAGGUCUUCGGAUCGUAAAACUCUGUUAUUAGGGAAGAACAAACGUGUAAGUAACUGUGCACGUCUUGACGGUACCUAAUCAGAAAGCCACGGCUAACUACGUG